GAUGAGCCAGAAUUGGCACCUUGUCUAUAAAUAAGGUGCAAAAUGAUUUUAACUGAAGAGUUUGAUCAUGGCUCAGAUUGAACGCUGGCGGCAGGCUUAACACAUGCAAGUCGAGCGGGGGAAGGU
rnacentral:rRNA from 1 species